CGAUACAGGGUGAUAGUCCCGUAGUUGACGACGUGUGUUCAGUGAAAUCGAGUAGGGCGGGACACGUGAUAUCCUGUCUGAAUAUGGGGGGACCAUCCUCCAAGGCUAAAUACUACUGACUGACCGAUAGUGAACCAGUACCGUGAGGGAAAGGCGAAAAGAACCCCUGUGAGGGGAGUGAAAUAGAACCUGAAACCGUGUACGUACAAGCAGUAGGAGCAGGCUUUGUCCUGUGACUGCGUACCUUUUGUAUAAUGGGUCAGCGACUUAUAUUCAGUGGCAAGGUUAACCAUCUAGGGGAGCCGUAGGGAAACCGAGUCUUAACUGGGCGUUCAGUCUCUGGAUAUAGACCCGAAACCAGGUGAUCUAGCCAUGGGCAGGUUGAAGGUUGAGUAACAUCAACUGGAGGACCGAACCGACUAAUGUUGAAAAAUUAGCGGAUGACUUGUGGCUAGGGGUGAAAGGCCAAUCAAACCUGGAGAUAGCUGGUUCUCCCCGAAAGCUAUUUAGGUAGCGCCUCGGACGAAUACUACUGGGGGUAGAGCACUGUUAAGGCUAGGGGGUCAUCCCGACUUACCAACCCUUUGCAAACUCCGAAUACCAGUAAGUACUAUCCGGGAGACACACGGCGGGUGCUAACGUCCGUCGUGGAGAGGGAAACAACCCAGACCGCCAGCUAAGGUCCCAAAUUACUACUAAGUGGGAAACGAUGUGGGAAGGCUCAGACAGCCAGGAUGUUGGCUUAGAAGCAGCCAUCAUUUAAAGAAAGCGUAAUAGCUCACUGGUCGAGUCGGCCUGCGCGGAAGAUGUAACGGGGCUAAGUAGUAAACCGAAGCUGCGGCAAUAUACUUUUGUAUAUUGGGUAGGGGAGCGUUCUGUAAGCGGUUGAAGGUGUGUGGUAACGCAUGCUGGACGUAUCAGAAGUGCGAAUGCUGACAUGAGUAACGAUAAAGGGGGUGAAAAACCUCCUCGCCGGAAGACCAAGGGUUCCUGUCCAACGUUAAUCGGGGCAGGGUAAGUCGACCCCUAAGGCGAGGCCGAAAGGCGUAGUCGAUGGGAAACGGGUUAAUAUUCCCGUACUUCUUACAAUUGCGAUGGGGGGACGGAGAAGGCUAGGUGGGCCUGGCGACGGUUGUCCAGGUUCAAGUGCGUAGGCUUAAGAGUUAGGUAAAUCCGGCUCUUUUUAAGGCUGAGACACGACGUCGAGCACCUACGGGUGUGAAGUCAUUGAUGCCAUGCUUCCAGGAAAAGCCUCUAAGCUUCAGAUUGUAAGGAAUCGUACCCCAAACCGACACAGGUGGUCGGGUAGAGAAUACCAAGGCGCUUGAGAGAACUCGGGUGAAGGAACUAGGCAAAAUGGUACCGUAACUUCGGGAGAAGGUACGCUCUUGAUGGUGAAGUCCCUCGCGGAUGGAGCUGACGAGAGUCGCAGAUACCAGGUGGCUGCAACUGUUUAUUAAAAACACAGCACUGUGCAAAAUCGUAAGAUGACGUAUACGGUGUGACGCCUGCCCGGUGCCGGAAGGUUAAUUGAUGGGGUUAGACUUCGGUCGAAGCUCUUGAUCGAAGCCCCGGUAAACGGCGGCCGUAACUAUAACGGUCCUAAGGUAGCGAAAUUCCUUGUCGGGUAAGUUCCGACCUGCACGAAUGGCGUAAUGAUGGCCACGCUGUCUCCACCCGAGACUCAGUGAAAUUGAAAUCGCUGUGAAGAUGCAGUGUACCCGCGGCUAGACGGAAAGACCCCGUGAACCUUUACUACAGCUUGGCACUGAACAUUGACCCUACAUGUGUAGG
rnacentral:rRNA from 1 species